AGAUUGAACGCUGGCGGCAUGCUUUACACAUGCAAGUCGAACGGCAGCACGGGGGCAACCUUGGUGGCGAGUGGCGAACGGGUGAGUAAUGCAUCGGAACGUAUCCUUAAGUGGGGGAUAACGCAUCGAGAGAUGCGCUAAUACCGCAUAAUCUCUGAGGAGAAAAAGCAGGGGAUCGCAAGACCUUGCGCUUUUGGAGCGGCCGAUGUCUGAUUAGCUAGUUGGUGAGGUAAAGGCUUACCAAGGCUUCGAUCAGUAGCUGGUCUGAGAGGACGACCAGCCACACUGGGACUGAGACACGGCCAGACUCCUACGGGAGGCAGCAGUGGGAAUUUGGACAAUGGGGAAACCCUGAUCCAGCCAUGCGCGUGAUGAAGAAGCUUGGUGUAAGCUCUUACAGACCGGAACGUAAAGGUUAACGGUAAUACCCGUGACUAAUGACGUACCGAAGAAGAAG
rnacentral:rRNA from 1 species